GCGGGCAUAGCACAGAGGAAGUGCAGUAGCCUUCCAAGCUACCUACACGGGUUCGAGUCCCGUUGCCCGCUCCA
rnacentral:tRNA from 1 species